UUUUUAUUAAAGCUGUAUCACACAAUGAAGCCACACAAUGAGGUAUUAAGAUAGAAGAAAGGUAAACAUACAUAGAGAUUGAAGUUUGAACAUAGAAGUUUACCAUUUUCAGAAGUGUUAGAUAAAAAUUUGUCCCCCCAAAAAUGUUUUAUAGACCUGAAAAAGGACCGUCAUGCUUUCACAUAUUACCCGUCAUGUGUAUGUUAAUGCCAAAGCAAUUUUUCAUUUAGAUUCCACAAAUGCAUUAUAAAUUUAGACUGGAGACUCCAAGGUAACAAGAUAUUCAUGUGCAAUCCACUGGUACCUUGGGAAUCCACAAUUAUUGAUGGUAAUGGGUUGUCAUCAAAAGACAUGGUAAUCUUUUAGACAUUAUUAAUUGCUGCUGAACGUCUGGUGCAAAAAUAGACCUAGGAUAACAUAAUGAAUGCAUCGCGGACUAAGCAACCCAUUAUUUUUUAUAAAUAAUAUUGUGACAACAUAUUCUGCAUUGCUAUACAAUUGGAAAAAAAGAGAGAAUAGGAACAAGCAUAUAAAAAGACAAAAAAGUUAAGAUGAACACAAACAAGAUGUGAGUAGGACCCUGUUUAAACAAACUUACAAUAUUAUUGGACAAUAUGUACAGAUAGCCACAUAAGGAAAUGUGAAGUCCGUAUUAAGGAAAAGAAGAGCCACACUUUGGUGUAAUUUCCUCUUAACAUAUGCUUCAACAUUAUGUGAGUUUUAUAGGUUAAUUUUUCUUUUUUACAAUAAAUGUUUUUAUAGAAUUUUGUAUAAAACGGAUAAAAUGGCACAUAUUGUCUGUUGAGUUCCACAAAGGUUGUAAUGUCAAAGAAACAAACUCAGAAUUGUUGGUUUCUGGUGCAGAAUUCGGACAAACAUAUUGUGGACUGUCACAACUACAGUAAGCCUCCUUGCUGGCAUAAUGACAAAAGGACAGAAUAAUUGAUAGCAGCCUUAUAUAGAUCAGGAUCAUAACUCCCAUCAAUCUCUGGCAUACUGAGAUUAGAAAACACAAACGGCCUUUUGAAAUAAGUUUGAUAUCAAUUUACCUACUUGUCAAUGUACAUUGGUAAAGAAUAUUUACAAAUGACAUUUUAGUAUUAAUACAUAUUGAAUGGAAAAAAUGCAUCCCUUUCAUAAUCCACUCCUAUAAAAAUGUAGACUCCGUGAAAGGAACACAAACGGUGCAUGGUUUCUUAUCAAAAGUAAUGCAACAAGCUGCUGUGAUAAGUCUGUGGCAUGCUCUUUAUUCAAAGCAAAAAGAGUGAUCAGAAAAGAAAAUUUAACUAAAAUAACUACUUCAACUAUCUAAGUGAGCGAUGUAAUGAAAUCUGUUUGCUGUGCUAGCUGUCUCCGGAUUGGGCUGUAAUUACACCACAGAAGGAAGAAAGGUAGCUGAAUCUCAAUCUAGAUCAUUUGUGUAAACUCAGCCGUCUUGUCAACGAUGGUCUCACAUUGCAUGCAUGCAAACCACAAAAAUCAUCUCCAGUGAACAAAACAGAGACAGGCUCAGGUUCCGAGCUUGUGAUUACCUUAUAUUCUGUCAUUGAAGUUUUGAGAGUUCUUUAAUCUGGCAAACUACGAAUAGAAAGUGGUUCUUAGAUACAGUAUGAAUUUUAGAAACAGAUCUAAAGGAAAACAGAGAUACAU